rnacentral:rRNA from 1 species
ACUCCCAAACCCCUGUGAACAUACCUUAAUGUUGCCUCGGCGGAUCAGCCCGCGCCCCGUAAAACGGGACGGCCCGCCAGAGGACCCAAACUCUAAUGUUUCUUAUUGUAACUUCUGAGUAAAACAAACAAAUAAAUCAAAACUUUCAACAACGGAUCUCUUGGUUCUGGCAUCGAUGAAGAACGCAGCAAAAUGCGAUAAGUAAUGUGAAUUGCAGAAUUCAGUGAAUCAUCGAAUCUUUGAACGCACAUUGCGCCCGCUGGUAUUCCGGCGGGCAUGCCUGUUCGAGCGUCAUUUCAACCCUCAAGCCCUCGGGUUUGGUGUUGGGGAUCGGCUCUGCCUUCUGGCGGUGCCGCCCCCGAAAUACAUUGGCGGUCUCGCUGCAGCCUCCAUUGCGUAGUAGCUAACACCUCGCAACUGGAACGCGGCGCGGCCAUGCCGUAAAACCCCAACUUCUGAAUGUUGACCUCGGAUCAGGUAGGAAUACCCGCUGAACUUAAGCAUAUCAAUAAGCGGAGGAAAAGAAACCAACAGGGAUUGCCCUAGUAACGGCGAGUGAAGCGGCAACAGCUCAAAUUUGAAAUCUGGCUUUCGGGCCCGAGUUGUAAUUUGUAGAGGAUACUUUUGAUGCGGUGCCUUCCGAGUUCCCUGGAACGGGACGCCAUAGAGGGUGAGAGCCCCGUCUGGUUGGAUGCCAAAUCUCUGUAAAGUUCCUUCGACGAGUCGAGUAGUUUGGGAAUGCUGCUCUAAAUGGGAGGUAUAUGUCUUCUAAAGCUAAAUAUUGGCCAGAGACCGAUAGCGCACAAGUAGAGUGAUCGAAAGAUGAAAAGCACUUUGAAAAGAGAGUUAAAAAGUACGUGAAAUUGUUGAAAGGGAAGCGUUUAUGACCAGACUUGGACUUGGUUAAUCAUCUGGGGUUCUCCCCAGUGCACUUUUCCAGUUCAGGCCAGCAUCAGUUUUCGCCGGGGGAUAAAGACUUCGGGAAUGUAGCUCUCUUCGGGGAGUGUUAUAGCCCGUUGUGUAAUACCCUGGCGGAGACUGAGGUUCGCGC